UCCUCGUCUCUCAACUAUCACUUCUUCUUCUCUUUAAUUUUCUCUUCUUAAUGAUUUAAAACCUCAGCUUUCCUCUUCAUCUCAUCUGUUUUCCUCAGUGUUGAGCCAGACAUGCCCAGUUUUUUCCCUCCUUAAACUCUCUUUGUGAUACCUGUCUUGACAUGGAUCUCUAGUGUGUAUUUCUCUUUCAGCCUUCUCACUACUGGUCCAGGCAAACUAUGCAAUGAUGAAAUAAGAAGCCGAAGAAAGAUCUCAGAGUUGAUUUGAAGAGUCUGAGAUGACUCAAUUUCCUGUUAUAUUCUAAAGGGAAGCUGACCUAAAAUUUAAGACCUUGUUUACAAAGUACAUGAUUUAUUUAUUUAUGUUUUUCUGAACAGAAGAAGAUGAAGAUAAAAGGUCAACAGACUGAACACUGAACGGUUUCAACGUACAAACUUAAAGGAAUACUUUGAGGAUAUAGCAACUCAGAGGUAUGAACCAUCAAUUCAGAAGUUCAGUUUCUGGUCCCCUGCAGUUUUGUGUCAGCCAAAACUGGUGUUCUUCCCCAAGUGACAGGAAUUGAAAAAAAAACCUUGGUAGGGUUUUUUGAACUACUCUACAUCCAAAGAGCUUGGACAGGACUGGAUGAGGUAAGAGACUUUACUAAGCUCUUGAUAUUAUAUCCUGCUUUGGCUCUGUCUGGAGCUGGCUGUCAUAUAGUAGUUAUUUCAGGAACCCAGUUUCUUCAUGCCUCUUCUACAUUAUUAUUACAUGACGACUCAAGCUGUGGAUUGCUCCAGACUCCAUGGACAGAACACAAGACUGCAGGCAUUUGCCUGCUUUACCUAGAGGUUGUGGAUAUAGUUUCAUGGUCACGUUAACCCAUCUAAAGCUUUAUGUCAGACACCCAGGCUGCUCCCUACCCUCCUAUAUAUGUUUCUUCAGAUCAUUUUGCUGUCUAAACAUCAUUACUACCAUGUCAGAAGCCUGUCCUUAAGUGGAAUUAAGAUGCUGGAACCGUACCUGGUGAGUACCAUUAUUCAUAUAUCUCUUUUCUUUUGGUGCCCUGUUGGAACAAUCACUCAUUUCUCUUAUCCCCAAGCCAAGAACACAUGCAGUCUCCAGAACAGGGUUUCUCUCCUGCUCUGAAUCCUAGUCUAGAUGAGAUGGCAACUGCUCAAAGCUUUCAGAGAUCAUCCAGAGAAUGUCCCACAGACUGUUCUCUCUGUGGUUUUGCUUACAUUCAAUAUCCUUUCAGUUUAUCUCCCUGACUUUUAGUGCCCAUGUUGAGUCUUUGUAUUUGUUUACUGUCUAUCUUGUUCUUCCUAAUAACUGUACUUAAUAACAGGAGAGAAGACUCACAAAGUGAACCACCCUCACAUUCCACAGAAGAGGAUGCCUGCAUAUAAUUGCAGAAGCAAUUCUAGUUCAGACCUGCUGAGAGAGCGGUUUUAUGUUACUGCUCACAAAACCUCAUGUACCUCAUUCUUAUUUGAGUACUGCUAAUUCAGACUGUGGUCUAGACCUCUAAUUGAAAAAAAAAAAAAAAUCACUAUUUUUUUUUUCUCUUUCAUUUCUAGUCAGGAAACUGCUUUUUGCUGUCCCUGGAAAAUCCCCAACAUAACGCUUUCUUUUUUACCAGUACUGUGGUUUGGGGUCAGCAUUCAUUCCUGUUGUUCAGACAUAACCUUCAAGGUCACUGGCCUCUGCCUGUUUUUUAUUUUAUUUUAUUUUAUUUUAUUUUAUUUUAUUUUAUUUUAUUUUAUUUUAUUUUAUUUUAUUUUAUUUUAUUUUAUUUUUUAUUUUUAAACAGAAUGAACUCUUAAGUUGCUUUACGUACAUGUGUGAGGUUUAUUUUACUUACACAAUUUAAACAGUGGGUAAUCUCUUAAUUCUUGAAGAUAGUACAUUCAAGUGAAGUUUGUUGUUUUUUUUUUUAUCUGCUAAAUGCUUUGUUAUUCUGGCACAUUUUAAUUAACUAUUAAAUACAAAACAAGUACAGCUUUCCAGCAUCUUUUUCUGCAUGAACAAAUGCUUGCACCUUCCUGUAUGUGGGCUGAGAAAACUCUUAACUCUUCUUGGGCAAACAGUAACAACCAAGGCUCUUUUAUUCAUACCGAUUAUGUAUGUUGCAUGCUAUGGAUGCAUGAAAUGGCAAUGAAGAAGACAGAAACAAUACAAAUCGGAGACUAUAAGGUAAAAUUUAAGCAUUUUAUUUCUACAAAUAGCAAAAAAUAUAAUCUAUUUCUGAGUAACAUAAACUGUUGACAUUCGGACUGUAACAAUGCUGUUUAAAAUAAGAAAAAAUGAUUGUGUCUAAUUAUGUAAGUUUGAAAUAUUAACAACAUACACUGAAAAGUUAUUUUGUGUCAGGAGCAGAUAGUCAUCUUUUUAAAGUUCAUAAAGCUUUUCUUACAGCAAAGUUGAUAGAAAAGCAAAUUCAUCAUGCUUGUCUCAAGAAUAUUAGGUAAGCACAUGAUUUUAAACAUAUGACUUUUUCUAAGAACAUGCAUUUUGAAAGAGAUUGAACAGAAUGGUUUAUAUCAAUUUUGAACACAGCACUUCAGCAGCCUUCUAAAGAUGCUUUGAGUGAUGCUUUAUAAAGAAGAAGUUUUUCUGAACAUUCUUCUGUAACUGAAGAAUGUUCUUCAGUUACAAACAAUUACUAGGAAAAAUGUGAUCGUAAUAUUGGAAAUGCGCUUGUAAUCACAAAAUUGAUUUUUUUUUUCACUCACUUUUAUAGAUGAGUGCAACAGAAUUAAGAAUUUCCAAUUAAAGCCACAUUUCUGAUUUCAGACUCAAGAAGAAGCAAAGAAAGGGCACAUUAACUUUCUAAGAAAACAUUUCUUAGCUAUUACUUCAUUUUUUGAAACUCUUUCUAAGUAACCUUUGGAAGAGGUGCUUAGGAGGAUGCCUAAAAGCAGCUUGACCCAGCAGAACCACUCCUCCAAUGAGACACUGCUGGAUGCCUCAGUCCACUCUGUUCUCAUAAUCCUGUACAGCAUUGACCUGGCUGGCGGCACCCUCGGGGUCAUCGUGAUGUCCCACCAGUUGUUUCGAAGGAAGUCACAAUCUGUGAUGACCAUUAUCAUCAUCAACCUCCUGGUGCUGCACACAUUCCUGCUAGUCAGCAUCCCCUUUCGCCUCAGCUAUUACAUUUUACAGGAAUGGAAAUUUGGGACAUUCACCUGCAGGCUAGUGAGUGCCAUUAUCUACUUCCACAUGUACACCACCUUCUCGUUUUACAUUGCUAUCAUCGUAAUACGUCUCUUCCGACUUGAGUUUAAGAAAUGCUACACUACAACGUGGGUGAUUGCUGUCUGGCUGCUGGGAGCACUGGUGAUUGCACCUGUUUUCCUCUCUUACUAUGGCACUUCUAAAACAUACACGUCCUCCCAUUGCUUUCACUUCCAGCAGGAGAUACAAGAGUUACGUAUGACGAUCAUAAACUACUGUUUGGUUGGAAUUUUGGUGGCUGUUUGUGCUGUGCUCACUGUCAUCCAGCUAUCUGUGAUCUAUAGACUGGCUGUGAAAUACUGGCCUGACAUCAACUCCCAUGUGGAAUUCAGGGCUCAGGCAAAGAGUUUCUUCUUCAUCUUGGUAAUGUUAGUGUGCUUUAUGCCUCAUCAUGUAUUCAGAGUAUAUUACAUCCAAAACUACCACCCGGAUAAAGAUCAUAAACUUCUCCCAUACAAUGAAAUUUUUUUAGCUUUAACAACAAUGUGUUGCUUGGAUAUGUUGUGCUUCAUAGCUGGAAUAGCCCACUAAACUCUGAACUACCAGGAAAUCCAGCCACUCUGUGUCAAUACUGGCUCUCGGCUGAAAUAAACUUGUGUCAGGACUUUGCUGUGCCAGGGAGACUGCUGAGUUUUCAUCAAGGCUAUAUAGGAUUGUCAUAGUCUUUGGCUUUUACAGGCUAGGAAGAUCCAUCUUUCUGAAACUACUAUUUUUUAUCUUCUCUCUUGAAGACAGACAUAUGAACAUUACUUUGGUCUUUGACCUAAAUGUCACGUCACGAAGCUUCAUUAAGAUUUUCCUCAGUCGUUCCUCUCCCUAACCAUUAGAGCACAAGUAUCCAUCCCUUCCUCUUUUUUCCACAGACUGUCCCAAUAACUACAACCCACUGUGUCUAACAAGUUUUCACUGUGAAAGUCUAACACUUUCUUCUGUCACUUGUGAUACUGAUGGGGUGAGGUAAGAAGGAAAUUCCUUUACAACCUUUUUGUACAAGUGAUUUUAGAUAACAAGGCCACGAACUAUAUUAGAAAUGUAUUCAAGGCAUGAAACAGGGCAUGAGUGAAAUGUUUUAGUGGAAUAUUCUAGCAUAAGCUUCGUUUGUUCAUCUAUACAAAGUAUACAUUAAAUUAAAUGAAAACAUUUAACAUUCUCGUAGCUUCAACUUUACUUGAUUCAUUUCAAAAGCACAAGCAGCUCCCUGAACUGAGGUAAUUACACCUUCAAAGUGAGUGAGAGCUGAACAGGUCACAAGUUUCAAAACUUUUGUCUUAUGUCACUCUCCCACCAGGUCUGGAUCGGUGGCUGUUAUCCCUUAAGUCCAUUUCAGCCAAAGAAAUACAAGUUACCAUUGUGCCCUGCCCAUAACCAGAGCUGGAAUUCAGGACUGAGGGGUCUGGUCCUUCAUGGAAGGAUCAGCUUCUCUCUAGGAGAGGGAAAUAUUUAACAGCCUUCAAAAACCCUUUGAGCAGAAAAUGUCUUUGAUGUCUGGUCACUUUCAGUUGCCUGUUGAUUUAUUAUCAGAUGCCAUAUUUUUUCCAUUUACAGAUGUAACAAAGCAAAGCUAGAAUAAACUAACCGAACUGUGUUUAAUCAGUUCAACAUAUGCUUGUGCAUGUGUAUAUAAACUUUUGCAGGAGUGUAUAUUUUUUCCAUUAGAUGGAUUAUAUUCUUUGUGAACUUGGAAAGUAGAAUGAAAUGACUGGGUCUUGAUCCCUCAGGAACCACAUCCUCUCUGGGAAUCUCCAUUUUCACUAUGUAAAAAUUAUUUUCACGCAUGCUGCUUGUUCUGCUCAGUGUAGAAGGUUUCCACCCUUCUGGCUAAGGCCUCACUGCAUCACAACAGCUUGAGGUCAGCUUUCUCCCAUUCCAAACUCCCAGGACUCACAGAAGUGUAUACUUUCUCCUUUGUAACCCCAUGAGUUACCAAAAUUUGCAUAAUUUGCAGUCUGUCAAUCUUUGCUCUAGAAGUGCUAUGAUGCCCAGAUUCAGACAGGUCAAAAGUUGAUUUGGGAGGGUUGAAAAACUACACCUAUCAAGGAAUGCUAAUGAUGCCUCAGAUUGAUGGCCUUUUUUUGAACAAAAGAGCACACACUGACUAUGCCAAUGCUGAACAAACAUUUUUGCCAUUAAUCAUUUCCAUAAAAACCUUUGUCCAAAAUUCCUAAUGGUGCCAGAAUUCUUUCUGCUGCUUUUAAAAAGUGAAAGUCCAGGGGACCAUCAGCAAUUCCUGAAGCCUUCCAAAUAUCCUGACCUUCCCCUAGUGUUACCAGGUCCACUCCUGCUCUUACAAUACAGUCUUUUCAGUCCAUGAUUUUCAAAGACGGAAGUUAGAGGUACAAUAAAAUAUAAUAAAACAGAGAUACAACGCAAAAGGCCAGAUUCUAAAAAGGUAAAUAGUUCCCAAAACAUCAGCUUUUUGAUAUUCUUCUCUGGGCAGUGUGCUGCAUAUGUACCUAAUAAGACAGCUAGGAACCCUCAAGGCAAAAAAAGCUUAAACAAAGUGUUGGCCCUUCAGAAGGAUUUGGAGGGAAACACAGCAAGAGGCAGGGCCCGCAAAUAACCUAUUUGUAUCUCUGCCACCAGAAAGAGUUUGUUUAAGUUAAACAUAUCAAAGUCUUUAGAAAAACUGGCAAAGCCCUAAGUGAGGCAAUUUACUGACUGAUUUACUGAUUACUGACUCCUGUAGCUAAAUAUUUUGUUUGAAGAAGUAACCAUUGUCACUACCUUUUCUUACUGACCAGUGCUACCAAGCUGGCGUAUCUGGUGACGAACAGAGUCAUCUGGUGUUGCUUAUGAGUCUGCUGAUAAUAAAGCAGUUCGGGAUAAUGUAGUGCAAGUAUGGGAUAAGGAAAGGGAAAUUACACAGUCUUCAGCUAUGAUAUCGUUCCACACAAUUCCUUCAAGGAGAUUUUAGGGAUAAUUGUGUAAGGUCUUAGUUCUGGUCAGGCUCUUAACUCCUAUGGAACUACGUAUUUAUCUUCAGCUCCUCAAAGACCAGGGCUGACCUGUGGUCCAUGUGCUGGUAUAAUGUUCAUUACACUAUGUAUUUAAUACAUCUACGUUACACUAUCUAUGUGUUUAAUAUUCAACUCCUCAAAUACAGUUGAGGAGUUGAAUUGCUAACACAUUCUUUUAUGCAAUGUCUGUAUUCAGCCAUAUUUCAUAAUCAAUUAAAUCCUUCCAGCAGAAUAAAUCUAAGGAAAAAUAAUUUAUGCAAUUCAGAAAUUAGCUGUGAAAGGUUUUUCCUGAGCAAGUGGGCAAAGCAGAAUUAAUUUUAUUCCAUCCAGCACACAAGUGGCUGGACCCUGCGUGUACCAACAGGCUCUUCAACCUCUCCCCACUAUCUCCUAGAGGUUUGGCUGCUAGUGUUGAAGGCUGGCUGUGACAUGGUCCAGCUGUCUAAUGUUGUGUAAGAUGCUGUUAACAUAGUGGUGUGAGAAAGAGCUGUAAAAACCACUAUGUUGGGGGCCUCCCCACCUUGGCUUUGUGGCCUAUCCAUCUUGGUCUGGUGGCCUUGCCCUCAGCUUUUGCUUGAUAUUUUUUCCUGUGCCUGUCCAAGAAACUUGCUGAAAUAAUCUUGACCCACUGACUUGACUUUCUACCUUGAUGCUGAAGCUGUGCUGUCACAUCAUAUUUGCCUGGCAAUUGCUGAUGACCAUCCUCAGACGUGCUCUACUUGCAUUGCUUAGGUUCUGUGGGCUUGCACACUGCACUCGGUCCAGCUGGGAUGGGAUUAACAUUCUUUGUAGCAGCCCAUACAGUACUAUGUUCUGGAUUUGUGGCCAAAAUAGUGCUAUUAGCACAGUGGUGUUUGACUGCUGCUGGACAGUGCUUGCACAUCAUCAAGAAUUUCCUUUUUUCCCACUCUGUUCCCCAGUGAAUAGGCUGGGGGUGGGCAAGACACUGGGAGAGGACAUGGAUGAGGCAGCUCACCCAAACUUCCCAAAGGUAUAUUCCAUACCAUCCAACAUUAUACUCACCAAUAACAACUGAAGACGAAGACGAAGAAGACGAAGAAGAAGACAAAGAAGAAGACAAAGAAGAAGAUGAAGACGAAGACGAAGACGAAGAAGAAGAAGAAGAAGAAGAAGAAGAAGAAGAAGAAGAAGAAGAAGAAGAAGAAGAAGAAGAAGAAGAAGAAGAAGAAGAAGAAGAAAACUAGAUAAACCAACUAUGGUCUAUCAACUGUGCUAUACUCUCUGCUAUGACAUAUGCUAGAAAACUAGAUAGACCAACAAUCAAAAGUUCAGGCACUUCUGGAAAAUGCGAAGCUUGACCUUAGCUUCCAUCUUCAUUAAACCAUGACUCUGAGCAGUCUACUUCCAUGUCAACCUUGAUCCCUCUGAAAAAUUAGAACAUAAAUGCUAUCUUCUGCUGUGAAAUUGCUCUGAAGAUCUCAACAGGAAUGUAAAAAGUGCAAAAAACUCAUUUACUACACAUGCCUGAAUAUCCGUAAGCAUUUCUGGAAAUUCCUGCUGUCCCAGCCACAGUGCUACAACAGUUGACCUGUUUUUACCUAACUCAGGCACAUCCUUCUGAACAAAACUGAGGGUGAUGUGAGCCCACCCACCAACUGCACAAGGGGCAUAUUUUUUGUAAUUCAAAUCCACUAGUAUCCAGGACAGCAAUGUUCAAAUGAAAAAGAAAGAAAGAAAGAAAGAAAGAAAGAAAGAAAGAAAGAAAGAAAGAAAGAAAGAAAGAAAGAAAGAAAGAAAGAAAGAAAGAAAGAAAGAAAGAAAGAAAGAAAGAAAAAGAAAGAAAGAAAGAAAGAAAGAAAGAAAGAAAGAAAGAAAGAAAGAAAGAAAGAAAGAAAGAAAGAAAGAAAGAAAGAAAGAAAGAAGCAAACAACAACAAAAAAAAAACCUCUCCAUUUCCUUCAGACGCAUCUGUUCCUUCUGCUUGCUUAUAUAGAAAGGUCAUAUUGAUGAUGCUGUCAGAUGAGCAUGCCCCUCUCUGUAAGCCAGCAGAAAAGCAGAAGGAACAGAUGCAUUAGGAGGAAACAAAGCUCUCCUCUCUUUUUCUUCUCCACAUGAGCAUUAGCAUUUUGAGCGCUAACAGAUUUUGGUGGAGAAAAUGGAAGUAUGAUCAAGUAAUGCUAUUUGUCUCAGACAGCCCAAGCUGCCAAGUCCAUACAUAGCAGUACGCUCAUUACCAUUUACAUUGCCCAUUCUGCUGUCUGCAAAAGCUGAAGAUCUUUUUUUUGCAAUUUCACAAGCAUGAACUAAAGAAAGUGGUUUGUAAAAGACUGUGGGGAGGAUGGUGUGGGGUUGACACACUUGCAUAGUGCGUGUGGUAGAUGGACACACUAACUUUGUCUCCAUGAACAAUGAAACUGUUCACCUGAUGUAUUCUGCAAGGAAUUCAGGAUUAAAGCUGUAAUCUGUCUUCAA